rnacentral:rRNA from 1 species
ACAGAGGGUGCAAACGUUGCUCGGAAUCACUGGGCGUAAAGGGCGUGUAGGCGGGAAUGUAAGUCGGGCGUGAAAUCCCUAGGCUCAACCUAGGAACUGCACUCGAAACUGCGUUUCUUGAGUGCCGGAGAGGAAAGCGGAAUUCCUGGUGUAGAGGUGAAAUUCGUAGAUAUCAGGAGGAACACCAGUGGCGAAGGCGGCUUUCUGGACGGAAACUGACGCUGAGACGCGAAAGCGUGGGGAGCAAACAGGA